GCGCAUGCGCGGCCUGCCUGUCAGUAACCACGUGAUGGACCCGGAAGCCCGAGGGCAGAUGCUAAAUGAUGGCCAUUUGACAUUUGCGUGUGUUCACUAUGGAUAGUUUUACCAAGUACAUUGAUUUGGGCCCUUACAGCUUACAAAGUAAAGAUAACACUUACUCCUCCAAGAAAUUGAUUUCAGCUAAGCAAAACAUUGAUACAGGGCUAUAAUGGAAGUGUUGGACUCAUAAACGUUUUAUGAAAUCAGUGUGUGUGUAUUACAGAAAUCAGAAAUGAGAAGUAAGAACAUGUCUGGGAGAGUGUGACAUAAGAAAAAUAACUUGUAGGCGUAUUUAACAGACAGCAGCAGUUCUCAGGAUUCCCCAUGUUAGAGCCUUCCUUCCUGUCCUCUGAGAAAUGAAAAUGAAAUCCAAAGACCCCCAACUGACUACACGAACCCCCUACUGGCUAAGGAGAUCCCAGGGUUGCCUUGAAGGCAGUUCUCAGCCAUGACAGAUGGGAGUUUCGGCCCAAUUGACCAGUAUUCCUUACUGAUAAGAGACACUGACCAUGGAGUGGUUCUGGUGAGAUGACAUGACCCUCGUGAAGGGGCCUGAAGCUUCAUUGUGUUUGUUCUCCCUCUGUUGCCGAGGCUGGACUGUACUGCCGUGAUC
rnacentral:lncRNA from 1 species